UACGAGGGGGGCGAGCGUUGUUCGGAAUUAUUGGGCGUAAAGAGCGUGUAGGCGGCUUGCUAAGUCUUGCGUGAAAUCUCGGGGCUCAACCCCGAGCGGUCGUGAGAAACUGGCAGGCUAGAGUGCGGGAGAGGAGAGUGGAAUUCCUGGUGUAGCGGUGAAAUGCGCAGAUAUCGGGAGGAACACCAAUUGCGAAGGCAGCUCGCUGGGACGUUACUGACGCUGAGACGCGAAAGCGUGGGGAGCAAACAGG
rnacentral:rRNA from 1 species